AGACAGGUUAGUUUUACCCUACUGUUGUGAGGGGCCGGUGUGAUGGUAAUGGAGCUUAGUACGAGAGGAACGGUUCGAUCGGAUACUUGGUACCGCGCUCGAUGGAGCCGUCGAUGGCGCGAGGCUACAUCCGUGGGGUAAUGGCUGACAGCCUCUCAAGCCAGAACCCUUGCCAGAGACACGGCCAGGCGAGAGGAACGCGGCCGGCCAAGACAAGCCUCUGCGCGAAGCGGAGGAAGAAGGCCUUAUGUACCCCUUAGAGGGCACAGAACUGACGCGCCCGAGCCUCAGAUCAUUCUGGGGCAAGACCUCCGCCAAGGACCCACCGUAGACGACCGUGCUAAAGAGGAACGGGGUGCUGGAAGCGAGAGAGUGCAAACGCGUGAUCCGUGCAGGCCUACCCCCGGUUCACUAG
rnacentral:rRNA from 12 species